GAUGAACGCUGGCGGCGUGCUUAACACAUGCAAGUCGAACGGAAAGGCCCCAGCUUGCUGGGGUACUCGAGUGGCGAACGGGUGAGUAACACGUGGGUGAUCUGCCCUGCACUUUGGGAUAAGCUUGGGAAACUGGGUCUAAUACCGAAUAUGACCACUUCUUGGAUGUUGUGGUGGAAAGCUUUUGCGGUGUGGGAUGAGCCCGCGGCCUAUCAGCUUGUUGGUGGGGUAAUGGCCUACCAAGGCGGCGACGGGUAUCCGGCCUGAGAGGGUGUACGGACACAUUGGGACUGGGAUACGGCCCAGACUCCUACGGGAGGCAGCAGUGGGGAAUAUUGCACAAUGGGCGCAAGCCUGAUGCAGCGACGCCGCGUGGGGGAUGAAGGCCUUCGGGUUGUAAACUCCUUUCGCUAUCGACGAAGCCACUUGUGGUGACGGUAGGUAGAUAAGAAGCACCGGCUAACUACGUGCCAGCCGCCGCAGUAA
rnacentral:rRNA from 1 species